rnacentral:rRNA from 1 species
AGAGUUUGAUCCUGGCUCAGAACGAACGCUGGCGGCGUGCUUAACACAUGCAAGUCGAACGGGUUUUUGCAGAACACCGCAGAGACUAGUGGCAAACGGGUGAGUAAUGCGCAGGUCAACAACCGUCAAGAGGGGGAUAACCAGCCGAAAGGCUGACUAAUACCCCGUAAGACCACAGUCACCUUUAGGUGGCAGAGGUAAAAGCCGUAUCGCAAGAUACAGCACUUGAUGACGUACCUGCGUCCUAUCAGGCAGUUGGUGAGGUAACGGCCCACCAAACCGAUGACGGGUAUCCGGCCUUAAAGGGUGAACGGACACACUGGAACUGAGACACGGUCCAGACUCCUACGGGAGGCAGCAGUGGGGAAUUUUGCACAAUGGGCGAAAGCCUGAUGCAGCGACGCCGCGUGGAGGAUGAAGGUUCUUUGAAUCGUAAACUCCUUUUACAGGGGACAAAGACCCGCAAGGGUUUGAUGGUACUCUGUGAAUAAGCAUCGGCAAACUACGUGCCAGCAGCCGCGGUAAUACGUAGGAUGCAAGCGUUGUUCGGAAUUACUAGGUGUAAAGCGUCUGUAGGUGUCUUGAUAAGUUUUGGGUGAAAUCCUUUCGCUUAACGAAAGAAUUGCCCAAAAAACUGUCAGGAUUGAGUGCGAGAGGGGAAACUGGAAUUCCUAGUGUAGCGGUGAAAUGCGUAGAUAUUAGGAGGAACACCAAUGGCGAAGGCAGGUUUCUGGCUCGUUACUGACACUGAGGGACGAAAGCGUGGGGAGCAAACAGAAUUAGAUACCCUGGUAGUCC